GACAUCACCAUGUUUGUCAUGGGUGUCAGCGAGAAGGAAUACAAGUCGAACAUCACCAUUGUCUCCAGCACUAGCUGCACCACCAAUUGCCUGCUCCUCUUGCUAAGGUUUUGGUUAAUUUACGGAGGAAUCAAAAAUCAAGAAGGUGCAAGAAUAAGAGAAUAAGGAAGCGGCGAUUUUACUGAAGUGGCAUACACUAGAAGGCAGUGAUGCAGGAGGCAGUUAGUUUGCUGGGUGGAACAGAGCCGAUUUAUAGCAGCGAAGCAUCUUAUGGGACCAGUGUAGUGUUUUUUCUUAGUGGAAUUGAUUGGCUGUGAUGCUGAGUGUAGAGAAGCAAAUCAUCUCCCUCUCCUCUAGGCCGUUUGGCAUACUACAGUCAUGGUAGUUGAAUUUUAUUUCUUCAGUGGAUGAUGUGCUGCAAAAUAUUUGGGAGACUGGUGGUGGCGACGACGGUGCAUUGGGCUCAUUGUUUCUCGAUUUCGGAUGUCAUAGGGAGUACACCUCUUGUGUGAAUUUACUAUGGCCAGGUUGUGUGUCUAAAUCAGCUCUGUUCCUUAUCUGUUACAAGCCUGCUGCUCCUACAGCUGGGGUUCCUUCUCUGAUCCAAAGUGCUUUUGUGGAGGAGUCAGCGCUGAUUGCAAUAACGUU